rnacentral:rRNA from 1 species
UACAGAGGGUGCAAGCGUUGCUCGGAUUUACUGGGCGUAAAGCGUACGCAGACGGUGAGAAAGGUCGGAUGUGAAGGCCCCGGGCUCAACCCGGGAACUGCAUCCGAAACCAUCUCGCUAGAGUAUGAGAGAGGGAAGCGGAAUUCCUGGUGUAGAGGUGAAAUUCGUAGAUAUCAUGAGGAAUACCAGAGGCGAAGGCGGCUACCUGGACAAUUGCUGACGCUCAGGCACGAAAGCGUGGGGAGCAAAAGGG